UACGUAGGGGGCUAGCGUUGUCCGGAUUUAUUGGGCGUAAAGGGCUUGUAGGUGGCCAACUAAGUCAGACGUGAAAUCCCUCGGCUUAACCGGGGAACUGCGUCUGAUACUGGAUGGCUUGAGUGUGGGAGAGGGAUGCGGAAUUCCAGGCGUAGCGGUGAAAUGCGUAGAUAUCUGGAGGAACACCGGUGGCGAAGGCGGCAUCCUGGACCAUUACUGACACUGAAAAGCGAAAGCCAGGGGAGCAAACGGG
rnacentral:rRNA from 1 species